CCUGCCUCUAGCUCUGGCUCUGGCUAUGCCUCUGGCUCUCCCUCUGGUUCUGCCUCUGCCUCUGGUUCUGCCUCUGGCCCUAGCUCUGGCUCUGCUUCUAGCUCUGCCUCUGACUGUAGCCCUGCCUCUGACUUUGGCCCUGGCUCUGCGUCUGACCCUGCCUCUAGCACUAGCCAUGCCUCUAGACCUGCCUCUGGCCCAGCCUCUACCUCUG